CCAAGACCAACGACCAAUCAAAAACGAGAUACCCUGUUGUCGCCACUGUCUCUAUAAAGUCACUGUAGGUACAACAAGAAGGUUAAAAUAAAACAGGAAAAUCAUACUCGAUUUUUACUAUAUCAGGAACAAGUUUACUUGAACAUGAAUUAUAUCAACGAUACUUACGCUAAUAUUUUACGAUAAACCAAGACAAGACCUAAUCUAAUUUAUUUAAUUUAUUUUUGACCUUUAUCUUUGAGUGCGCGAGGCUUCAGCUCAGGCUGCUCUGCCAUCCCACUUGCAGAUGUGUUCCACACUGACUCUUUGUACUGCGCAAACGCAAGCGCGCUAAAAUUUGAAUUUGUGUACAGCUGUCAAGGUGUGUAAGGAGUAAAUAAUAUACACAGAAUAAGACCGUAUUCUGUGAUAAUAUACACAUAACCUGCAAACGUUAUAAUUGAAGAUAAUUUAGCUUACCUGCUUACCUAUUAUAUGUAGUAGGUAUAUGAAAAUGCCAUGUUAUCAAGAUGAAUUUUGUUGUUAUCUACAUUUGGAAGAAUAUGCCAAAGGCGAUAUUAGGAAACUGCUUCGCAAUAACGUUAUACAGACCAACAUUGACCUAUGGUAAAGAGAGAGUCCGGUGCUGAACGAAUCUCAAAAAAACCAGACUACAAGGAUCUUGACUGAUAGCUAAAGUAGAGGUUUGCUUUCAAGUUGGCGCUAUAAUGUAUUUAACUGGAAUUCACAGUAGUGACCGAGAAGAAGAACAUAUUCUUUCCGAGAAUACAGCGACAUUUGGUUUGUAAUAUGGAAGUCAGCAGGAACUGCGCGCUUGCGUUUGCGCAGUACAGGGAGUCAGUGUGGAACACAUCUGCAAGUUGCCAUCCCACCCCACUACUGCAGUGGCGUACCGUCGGUCAUUGGUGUCCAGGGCGGAAUAUAAACUUGCCGCCCUAAUGAGAAAGGCGAGGGGAGU